GACGUAGGAUGCGAGCGUUGUCCGGAUUUAUUGGGCGUAAAGAGUUCGUAGGUGGUUCGUUAAGUCUGAUGUUAAAGACUGGGGCUCAACCCUGGGAGUGCAUUGGAUACUGGCGGACUGGAGUGCAGUAGAGGCAAGCGGAAUUCCCAGUGUAGCGGUGAAAUGCGUAGAUAUUGGGAAGAACACCGGUGGCGCAAGCGGCUUGCUGGACUGUAACUGACGCUGAGGAACGAAAGCUAGGGGAGCAAAUGGG
rnacentral:rRNA from 1 species